rnacentral:tRNA from 2 species
GCGCCCUUAGCUCAGCUGGAUAGAGCAUCGGUUUUCUAAACCGAGGGUCGGAGGUUCGAGUCCUCCAGGGCGCGCCA